CGGCGUGCUCAUACAUGCAAGUCAAGGAGAACGUACUUUUCGGAGUGCUAUUAAACUGGCGAACGGGUGAGUAACGCGUGGGCAACCUGCCCUAGAGAUUGGGAUAACUUCGGGAAACUGGAGCUAAUACCGAAUAAUGCAGCGGAUCCCUCGGGAUACAGUUGUUAAAGCGGGCUUCGGCUCGCGCUUUAGGAUGGGCCUGCGUCCGAUUAGCUUGUUGGUAAGGUAAAGGCUUACCAAGGCAAUGAUCGGUAGCUGGUCUGAGAGGAUGAUCAGCCACACUGGGAUUGAGAUACGGCCCAGACCACCACGGUGGGCAGCAGUAAGGAAUUUUGCGCAAUGGGGGAAACCCUGACGCAGCAACGCCGCGUGACCGAUGAAGCUUCUAGGAGCGUAAAGGUCUGUCGUAAGGGAAGAAAAGUUUAGAUGUAAAUAAUGUUUGAACCUGACGGUACCUUACAAGAAAGCACCGGCUAACUUCGUGCCAGCAGCCGCGGUAAUACGAGGGGUGCGAGCGUNGUCCGGAAUCACUGGGCGUAAAGGGUCCGUAGGCGUUUCAACAAGUC
rnacentral:rRNA from 1 species